UGUUUAGUUUUAUUGGGCAUUCGGUGGAUGCCUUGGCAUCAAGAGCUGAUGAAGGACGUUGCGGCCUGCGAUAUGCCUCGGGGAGCUGGCGAGCGAGCGUUAUUAUCCGAGGGUGUCCGAAUGGGGGAACCUAACCUGGGUUAUGCUGGGUUACCAUCAUCUGAACGUGUAUAGGGUGAUGGGGGGAACGCGGGGAAGUGAAACAUCUCAGUACCCGCAGGAAAAGAUAUUCCGUGAGUAGUGGCGAGCGAAAGCGGAGGAGGCUAAACCAGAUGCGUGUGAGAGGCGGCGGCCGUUGCGUGUUUGGUGUUGUGGGGCCAUGUCGGAUCCUUCUGCCGGGGGAUCGCGUCACAAGUUGUUGGGAGUUGAACAGUCUGGGAAGUCUGACCGUAGAGCGUGAGAGUCGUGUAAACGGACCGAUGGCGUGUGGUGUGGGUGUGGUACCCGAGUAGCGCGGGACUCGUGAAAUCUCGUGUGAAUCUGCCAAGACCACUUGGUAAGCCUAAAUACUACUUGAUGACCGAUAGUGCAUAGUACCGUGAGGGAAUGGUGAAAAGUACCCCGGGAGGGGAGUGAAAUAGUACCUGAAACCGUGUGCCUGUAAGCCGUCAGAGCCUUGAGGGGUGAUGGCGUGCCUUUUGAAGAAUGAGCCUGCGAGUUAGUGAUACGUGGCGUGCUUAACCCGUGUGGGGUAUGCGUAGCGAAAGCGAGUCUGAAAUAUGGCGUUGGUCGCGUGUUCUAGACCCGAAGCGGGGUGAUCUACCCAUGGUCAGGUUGAAGCAGAGGUAAGACUGUGUGGAGGACCGAACCCACCAGGGUUGAAAACCUGGGGGAUGAACUGUGGGUAGGGGUGAAAGGCCAAUCAAACUCCGUGAUAGCUGGUUCUCCCCGAAAUGCAUUUAGGUGCAGCGUCGCGUGGUCCCUGGUGGAGGUAGAGCUACUGGAUGGCCGAUGGGCCCUAUGGGUUACUGACGUCAGCCAAACUCCGAAUGCCAUUAGGUGUAGCGCGGCAGUGAGACUGCGGGGGAUAAGCUUCGUAGUCGAGAGGGAAACAGCCCAGAUCAUCAGCUAAGGCCCCUAAGCGUACGCUAAGUGGGAAAGGAUGUGGAGUCGCGGUGACAACCAGGAGGUUGGCUUAGAAGCAGCCAUCCUUGAAAGAGUGCGUAAUAGCUCACUGGUCAAGUGGUUCUGCGCCGACAAUGUAGCGGGGCUCAAGCGUACCGCCGAAGCUGUGGCAACAACACGUUUUAACUGGCACCAGGAACUGGAUGUCGGUGUGUUGUUGGGUAGGGGAGCGUCCUGCACGAGGUGAAGCCUGGAGGGAACUUCUGGUGGAUUGUGUGGGAGUGAGAAUGCAGGCAUGAGUAACGAAUCUGCGGUGAGAAUCCGCAGCGCCGAUUGACUAAGGGUUCCAGGGCUAGGUUUAUCCGCCCUGGGUUAGUCGGGUCCUAAGGCGAGGCCGACAGGCGUAGUCGAUGGACAACCAGUUGAUAUUCUGGUACCGCGUUAUGACCGCCCAUGCUGAAGUCAUUGUGCUAACCAAUUUGCUCACACCACCACGUAACCUUCGGGUUUGUUGGUGUGUGUGGGUCUUGGGGCCCCGGUGAUUGUAGGCAAGCGUGUUAACAGGGGUGACGCAGACAGGUAGCUGCAGUGCGCCGAUGGUUGUGCGUAUUUAAGGUUGUGGCCCGUCCCUCAGGCAAAUCCGGGGGACACUAAGGGUGAGAACUGAUGAGGGACACACGCGUGUGUGGACUUGUGGUGAUCCUAAGCUGCCGAGAAAAGCCUCGACGUGAGGGCAUGACGCGCCCGUACCCUAAACCGACUCAGGUGGUCAGGUAGAGUAUACCGAGGCGUUCGAGUGAAUCGUGGUUAAGGAACUCGGCAAAAUUCCUCCGUAACUUCGGGAUAAGGAGGACCCCGUGACUUGCGCCCGCCUUUGCGUGGGUGUUGGGUUGUGGGGUCGCAGAGAAUAGGGAGAAGCGACUGUUUAUCAAAAACACAGGUGCGUGCGAAGCCGUAAGGCGAUGUAUACGCACUGACGCCUGCCCGGUGCUGGAAGGUUAAGAGGAACCGUCAACACCCUCCGGGGUGUGAAGCGGUGAAUUUAAGCCCCAGUAAACGGCGGUGGUAACUAUAACCAUCCUAAGGUAGCGAAAUUCCUUGUCGGGUAAGUUCCGACCUGCACGAAUGGCGUAACGACUUCUCCGCUGUCUCAACCGCGAACUCGGUGAAAUUGCAGUACGAGUAAAGAUGCUCGUUUCGCGCAGAAGGACGGAAAGACCCCGGGACCUUUACUAUAGCUUGGUAUUGGUGUUCGCUUGGACUUGUGUAGGAUAGGUGGGAGACUGUGAAGCUGCCGCGCCAGCGGUGGUGGAGUCGUCGUUGAAAUACCAUUCUGGUUCAAGCGGUCACCUCAACCUUGGCCCGUAAUCCGGGUUGGGGACAGUGCCUGGUGGGUAGUUUAACUGGGGCGGUUGCCUCCUAAAAUGUAACGGAGGCGCUCAAAGGUUCCCUCAGCCUGGUUGGUAAUCAGGUGGCGAGUGCAAGUGUACAAGGGAGCUUGACUGUGAGACCGACGGGUCGAGCAGGUGCGAAAGCAGGAACUAGUGAUCCGGCCAUGGCACGUGGGUGCGUGGUCGCUCAACGGAUAAAAGGUACCCCGGGGAUAACAGGCUGAUCUUGCCCAAGAGUCCAUAUCGACGGCAUGGUUUGGCACCUCGAUGUCGGCUCGUCGCAUCCUGGGGCUGGAGUUGGUCCCAAGGGUUGGGCUGUUCGCCCAUUAAAGCGGUACGCGAGCUGGGUUCAGAACGUCGUGAGACAGUUCGGUCCCUAUCCUCUGUGCGCGCAGGAAAUUUGAGAAGGGCCGUCCCCAGUACGAGAGGACCGGGAUGGACGAACCUCUGGUGUGCCAGUUGUACCGCCAGGUGCAUGGCUGGUUAGCUACGUUCGGAAGGGAUAACCGCUGAAAGCAUCUAAGCGGGAAGCCUGCUUCAAGAUGAGAUUUCCACGCCCCCCUGUGGGGUGAGAGGCCCCCGCCAGACUAGCGGGUNNNNNNNNNNNNNNNNNNNNNNNNNNNNNNNNNNNNNNNNNNNNNNNNNNNNNNNNNNNNNNNNNNNNNNNACGCCCAGCCUCCAUUCCGAACCUGGAAGCUAAGCCCG
rnacentral:rRNA from 1 species